GCCAGUGCCCAGAGGCCUGCUGAUGUCCUGGGGCAGAAAUAGCCUGUUUCAUCAUCAGCUCGGAGGACCGCAGCCUGCAUUCCUCGAGUAAGGAGCCGUACUCGGCUGUGCUUUUGGAGCAAAAUAACAUGGCCAGCUGCAGGCUGGGGGAAGGCCAGGCUGAGGUUUCAGAGGGAGAGUUGCAGAAGGAUAUGAAAUAAUCAGGGAAGAGGCAAGACCUUUUCUCACGUCCCCCUGCCCCACGGCCUGGGGAAGCAGAGGUGUCCAGUCCCAGACAGGUGUCCUGCUCUGAGAUGCCCAAAGCCCUUGGAAGUCUUACUGCACUGUACCUCUGUAUCUAUUUGUGGACUGGCCUCCCCCCCGCCGGCUCCUCAUCGCCAGCAACCUCAGUCUCAGCCUCAACUCACGGCCUGACUCCAGCCUUGAACCCACUGGCGGCCAAGGUGCAGGGAACCGGGUCUAGUCCAGGAGCUGUGAGCUGCGUGGAAAGAAUGUGAAUGAAGACACAAUUCUAAAUGUAGAAUCACGGAUGCUAUGUGAGCUGGCUCCCUCAUCGUCCAGAAAAACAAGACCCGCUUGUACGUUCUGCAAGAGCAUAAAUAAAGCUGUC